CUUCGUGUAUACAUAGGUGUGCAGAAAUAAAACACCAAUAUCGUCGACAAGUCGCUGCGCACAUUGUUGCAUUAAAGAUCUGUGUAACCAGGAAGGUUGUGGCGAACCAGGUUAUCCUGAUUCUCGGGGUCCCGUAUGUUACAAUUGUUUGGACGCAGUACCCGAAGGUCGGUGUCAUCAAAUUGAAAUAUGUCGACAAAGCGAGAUAUGCGGCGUCAAUGGCAAAAGCAUGUUUGGAACAACUGUGUUUGCAUCGAAAU